AUGCACGCUGGCGGCGUGCCUAAUACAUGCAAGUCGAGCGAACAGACGAGGAGCUUGCUCCUCUGACGUUAGCGGCGGACGGGUGAGUAACACGUGGAUAACCUACCUAUAAGACUGGGAUAACUUCGGGAAACCGGAGCUAAUACCGGAUAAUAUAUUGAACCGCAUGGUUCAAUAGUGAAAGACGGUUUUGCUGUCACUUAUAGAUGGAUCCGCGCCGCAUUAGCUAGUUGGUAAGGUAACGGCUUACCAAGGCAACGAUGCGUAGCCGACCUGAGAGGGUGAUCGGCCACACUGGAACUGAGACACGGUCCAGAAUCCUACGGGAGGCAGCAGUAGGGAAUCUUCCGCAAUGGGCGAAAGCCUGACGGAGCAACGCCGCGUGAGUGAUGAAGGUCUUCGGAUCGUAAAACUCUGUUAUUAGGGAAGAACAAAUGUGUAAGUAACUAUGCACGUCUUGACGGUACCUAAUCAGAAAGCCACGGCUAACUACGUG
rnacentral:rRNA from 1 species